rnacentral:rRNA from 1 species
UACGUAGGGGGCGAGCGUUGUCCGGAUUUAUUGGGCGUAAAGAGCGUGUAGGCGGCUUUGCAGGUCCGCUGUGAAAACUCGAGGCUCAACCUCGAGCUGUCGGUGGAAACCGUGAAGCUAGAGUCCGGAAGAGGAGAGUGGAAUUCCCGGUGUAGCGGUGAAAUGCGCAGAUAUCGGGAAGAACACCCGUGGCGAAGGCGGCUCUCUGGGACGGUACUGACGCUGAGGCGCGAAAGCGUGGGGAGCGAACAGG